rnacentral:lncRNA from 1 species
AUGAUUUUCCUCCUGCAGCAUUUCUUCCUGCUGGUCAUAGACUUACUGCUUGCCAUGACCCUUUCCUGCCUCUUUUAUGCCUUCGCGUGCAUUUCCAUUGUGUUCCUGACCUGCUGCAUUAUCAUCUUUUCCUUCAUCACCAUGGAGAGGAAUGCUGAUAUGAAAGGGAGAGCAAUCGUAAUUCUUGUGUCCAACAGUUCCAUUGGGAGGACGUUUGCAAGGAACCUGAAUAAAGCAGGUUUUGGGGUGUCUGCUGCACAAUGGCCUGCUCAAGAGAAGAGGACAGUGACAGAAGAAUGCUCGUCAAACAAGGAGGUAGCCCAGCUCCACCUGACUGAAGAUGAGUAUCAGAAGACAGUGAAAACCUUCAUAGAAAACCACUUAUCCCUGAAAGGCAUGUAUGGGAAGAUGAGGAAGCCGUCGAUCCUGAUAUGGGAUGAAGGGGCACGAGACACACAUGGGUUAUGUGAGAGAAAAACCUCCUGUGAGGGGAAGAAGGCUUUCAAGGCUCCACGCAGGAACUGCUUAUUGCAGGCAGCUCUCUACUUCACAGUCCUCUUUCACCCACUGAACUGUGUCCUGACUCUCCUGAAGAGAAGCCCACAGCUGCUUGUGCCUCUGCUGAAGUCCAAAAACUGACAG